AGUCAAUAACUCCAUUUUUAAUGGGUUGUGUAGGUGUUUUCUUUAACAAUGGGCCCUUGUGCUCAGUUUUUUUGAGAACAUUCUGUACUUUUUGCAACAGCCUGAAUUGUUUGGGGAUUCCUAUGUGACCCCAUUGGCCAAUAACUCAAUUAUAUAUAAACCAAUCACAUGACUGGAAACCUCAUUUGAUAGCAAGAAAAGUCCAGUUGGGACACUGUAGUGGUUUAAAUAAGCUUGGCCCAUGGAAAGUGAGAUGAUUAGGAGGUGUGGCCUUGUUGGAGUAGGUGUGACCUUGUUGGAGAAAUUGUGUCACUGUGUAGGUGGGCUUUGAGGUCUCAUAGUAUUCAAGGUCCACCCAAUGUUGAAGAAAGCUUCCUCCUGGCUGCCUGCAGAAGACAGUCUCCUCCUGGCUGCCAUUGGAUCAAGAUAUAGAACUCUUGGCUCCUCCAGCAUCAUGUCUGUCUAGAUGUAUCUGUCUGGAAGCUUCCACUCCCCACCCCGUGAUGGUAAUGUACUAAACCUCUGAAACUGUAAGCCAGCCCCAAUUAAAUGUUUUCCUUGUCAUGGUGUCUCUUUACAGUAAUUAAACCUUAACUAAAACAGACACUGUCUCCCCUAUUAUUUGGUGAUUUCAUUUAAAUCAUCUCUCUCUCUCUCUCUCUCUCUCUUUCUCUCUCUCUCUCUCUCCCUCUGUCUCUCUGUUUUUGUCUGUCAGACACACACACACACACACAUAUAUGUCUAGAUGUGUGUGUGUGUGUGUGUAAGUUUAUACUGUAACAGGGUCUCAUACUAUCCCCAAAUGCCCUUUAAUUUUAGCUUUCUCUCCCCAUAAUUCCUCCUAUUAAGCCCUUCCAGUCCCCACAUGAUUCUCCUAUUCCAGGCCCCUCCAUCCAUUGAUAAAUAUCUAGUCUAUUUCACUUUUCUGAAGAAAUCUAUCUGUUUUUUCUAGUCCCUUGCUCUAUACCUACCCUCUGUGUUUCUAUGGAUUCUAAAUUAGUCAUCAUUGACUUAACAACUAAUCUCCACAUAUAAGUUAAUACAUACCAUAUUCUGUGUCUGGAUUAUCUCGCUCAGGAUGGUUUUUUUUUUUUCUAGUUCCAACCCUUUACCUGGUUUUAUAAUGUCAUAUUUUUAACAGCCAAGUAAUACUCCACUGUGUAGAUGUACUACAUUUUAUUUAUCCAUUCUUCAGUUGAGUGAGAGUUAUGCUGCUUUCAAUUCCUGGCUAUUAUGCAUAAAACCUCAAUAAGCAUAUUUGAGCAAGUGUAUAGCUGGAUCUUAAGUAGAUUCAUCCCAUCUUCUGGGAACUACAACACUGAUAUAGAUAGUGGGUGUAGAAGUUUGCAUUCCCACUAGAAAUGUGUGGGUGUUCCCAUUAAUGCACAUCCUGACCAAUAAAAUAAAUGUGCUGCUGAUCUUAGCCAUUUUGACAAGUGUAAGAUGAAAUCUCAAAGUAGCUUCUGUUUUUCUUUACCUGACUUAAAAUGAAGGGGAUUAUUGUAAUCUGUUGUAAUUUUUUGGUAUUUGGUUAGGAGCAGAAACUCUCACUUUCUCAAUUUUGUGUCAAAGAAUAUGAUUAAAUAUGAUUUCUUUCAUAAAUGUCACAUAUAGGAUUCAUUUGUAAAGAAAUUUAAUUCCACAUAUUAAAUCUUAGAGUAGAGCACCUUGCUUAGUGUAUGCCAGGCUAUGGAAUUAUUCCCACCUCUCUCUCAUCCACCACCUAUCUUAGUUAUGGUUUUAUUGCUGUGAAGAGACACCAUGACCAAGGAAAUUCUUAUUAGGACAACAUUUAAUUGGGGGUGGCUUACAGGUUCAGAGGUUCAGUCCACUAUCAUCAAGGCAGGAAGCAUGGCAGCAGCCAGGCAAACAGUGUGCUAGAGGAGCUGAGAAAUCUACCCUUGGCCCAAAGGCAACAGAAGGAGACUCUCUUCUGCACUAGAAGUAUAGGAGGCUAGCUAUACUGGGAAGAGCUUGAGCACUAGGAGACCUCAAAGUUCCUCCCCACAGUGACUCACUUCCUCCAACAAGGCCACACCUCCUAAUAUUGCUAUCCCUUGUGGGCCAACAUUCAAACACGUGAGUCCAUGGGAGUCAAACCUAUUGAGCCUCCCACCACAUACACAUACCACUACUGCUAACAACAACAAAACCAGAAAACGUGCUCAUUGACAGAAAUAGGAUAUUUUUGUAUAAUAACUGCAUCUCUUGCUUUCCUCACUCAUUCCUGUUCAUAAAUGAACCCAUUUAUUCCAUUCAGCCCCUUAUUGCAUGAUGAGUUUCCAAACUAGAUCUUCAACAAGGGAACCCUCUCAUUCCUGUCUACAUUGGUGUCUUCUUUAUCACUUGAUACUUACUUUUUGGGAGGUCUCUUAUUGAGCCUGGAGCUUACCACUUUUUCAAGAUUAUCUGGCCAGCAAGCCCCAGGAAUCCUCUCUAGUCUAUGCCUCUCCAGCACUGGGAUAGCAGGCAUGAACCAGCACAUCCCAUUUGCUUUUCUUGGAUGAUGGUGAUCUGAACCCAAGUCCCCAUGCUUGUGGCAAGCACUUCACCAACUAAGUCAUCUCCUCAGCUCCUAAAGAUUUUAGUCUUCUUCGCAUGAAUGGCACAUAGGACUUAUCAAGUAUUGGGAAAGCAGUGGACUACUCUGCUAUAGUUCCAGAAGCCAGUUUACCAAUCUCCAGCCUGGAGGCUUGUAAGUCUAGUCACUCGUGAAGGCAUACUGCAAGUGCACGAGUGGGAUUUCUCCAGCUGGGAGUGGCACAGGGCUUCACAGGGAGACUUUCAUGUCCUCUUUACCAGGUCUCUGACAUGUGUGAAGACCACCUGUCUAUCUGAAGUACAUGAUUCCUGGAGCUCCACCUAAUAUUUGGGUGUGGAUCUCUGCUUCUGUUUCCAUCAGCUGCUGGAUGAUUUCAAAUCCUGGGAAAAGAGAUUGAGGUAGCCCAGCCAGUCUUCCUUUCUUCUGAAAUUGCAUUGAUACAAUUCGGAGAACAUUGAAACAGGCUUGAUGAGACUUCAGAGGAAAAGUCUGGCUGACCAUGUACCCAAAGUCACUCCUAGAAGUCCUCUACCUUGAACCAAAUUGAAGCACCUUGAGUUUGGGCAGAAUUACAUCCACGGUACUCUGGGAAACGAAACUGGCCCUUUUAUGAAGCCACGGGAUAGCUCCAGAUAGGGGGCUAGCAUUACUCCUAGAUGAGGCCAAUCCAUGAAAAAAUUCUUAAAACUCUCCAACAAAUCUUCUACUUGGGAACAGACUCAACUUGUCACAUAUAUUAGUGCCCCUAUCACCAUUGGCUAGAGAAGCUUCCUUUUAUUGUGGAUAACAGCAACUAGAGACUCACAACUGGUCAAUCUGCCAAAAUGAGAUUCUUGAAUGCUCGGGAGUAAAUGUGACAUCCAUAUCAUUUCCCCUAACCUAAGGGAACAUCACGGAAUAGGAGCUGGAAAGGAUGCAAGAGCUAAAGAUACUGAGCUUUUGCUGACUCUCUGGGCACUGUUUCUCUGAGCUGCCUCCCUACGUUCUUCUGCAACACAAGGCUGAUUGCUGACCUGUCUUGAAAAUGCCCCCUUUCCUUUCCUUUUUUUUUUUUUUUCUGUCUCCAUCUCCCUCCUUCAGGCACCUGACAAGAUUUACAGCUUGCCUGCACUUUUGCUUUUCCCUCAGAUGCUAAUAACAUUGCCCUUAACCUUUAUUCUGAGUCUGUUAAAAUACAUGUUACUAACCAAACUAAGAACCCAAGGGGGGACCUCCAUAUCCCCAGUAUUCUUAAACACAAGAAGCCCUGGUAUAAUUGUUUCUCACUUGUUAAGAUCAGUGAAGUCCUUUGUAAGACACAAUCAGGAGGCAGUUUCUUGUGACAAUUGCUUUUGGUCUCUAUAUUUCUCCACUGCCAGCCCCGAGGAGAAGCCCUGAAAUGAAAUUUCCACCUUAUUGGGAGUUGCAUCUGGUUUUAAGGCAGACCUUUGCAACCCCACAGGCAAUUCUGAAAAACUACUCUUUCUGAAUUGAGUUUCAGAAUUUGGGGACAUGAUGAAAGAAGUCUCAACAAAAGGUGUCCCAGACUUCCCAUUAGGUAAGAUAUAGAAUGUCCUGAAAAGAUAUUCUCCUUGUUAGGUGAAUGGUCUGCUUUUCUGGCACUUGAGAAGUGCUAGAAAGAUGGGCUGUAAGCCUUACAGCUCAAAAGAAGUCCUGCUACUGUGAAACCCAUGGUUCUUGGCACAUUACUGAGGUGUUAUGUCCUAGUGGAUUUUUAUAUUGUGUAGGUGGAAACAGUAUUGUCAGAAGGAGGACUAUCUCAUGAAGAAUGUCAUGUUCUACUCUAAGACCCAAUGGAAAGGACACUUUAACCCAGAAUUCAGGGUUAGCCUGGCUGCAAACUCUGAAGUGUAGAAUUGUGGGCAAGAUGGCUAAUUAAAUCAUUCCCUGUUGAUAUGAUAUGACAUGUUUCUAGUUCAGGCCUGACUCAAUUCAAAACCCUUUCUGUUUUGUGGAAAUAGGAAUUUCUGGAAGUAUGAAAUAUGCAAAACUGAUGAUCUUACAGUGAAUUUAGCCCUAGGGGUUUUAAUAUUAAGUUUUUACCUUCUAUUUAAGGUUUAUGAGACAUACAAGUCGAAGAUGCUGUAGAUAUAGCAAUAGUAAAGUGCUUGCCUGGAAACAAUCAAGCUCCCUUAUUUGAACGGCCACUGACCAGAGGAAGCAUUUCCAGUUUUGACCUGUUCUUUCAGAAUUGCUACUAUUUACAUACAUAUUGAUGAGAUAUUCUGAUGAAGGGACACAGGUCUCAAUGUGAAAUUCACUUGUUUCACAUGCUCCUAGUACACAGAACCUAAAGAUGACGUUAUACAUUUUGAAUGUAACUGUCUUUGGACUACUUCCAAUCAUAUGAAGUCAGGUGUGGAUUUUGCCACUUGUGGGUUUCUAUGAGUGCUCAGAAAGUUGUUGUUGUUUUUGUUAGUUUGCUUGCUUGUUAGUAUUUGCUCAGUAAACUUGUAGCAUGCAAUGGCCAUAUACAGGUUAUCAUGGUCAAACAAAGAUUUUAUAAGAUAGUAUUGAAAACUGUUGAUACUGCAGACUUCUUAGAAAAUGAACAUUUCCUCCCUCUAAUCUGAGAUGUUCCUCCCUCCCUAAGUCUCCCCCACCAUUAGCAACUGCCCGGGUUUUUCUCUCUUUGUCAGUUUUUUUUAGCAAUGAGACUCAUGCUUUUCCCUGAAAGAACCCUCACUGCUUCAGUUCAGCUUCUGAUUGGUAUCCUUUCCAUCAGAAACAGCAUAUUCCAUAAAGGACCACUGCCCUGCCCCCCCCCCCCCCAAGGACACAAACCUUGGAAAACAAAUUCCUUUUCAGAAAAGUUGCCAAACAAAUCUCCCGGUUCUCAAAAAGUAGAUGGUACAGCUGCAUUUAAGCUAUGAGGAGUAAACCUCGAUCCUGUUAGGGGUCCACAGAAUUUUACCAUAGAACCUGGGUGAGUCAAGGUAAGUUUGUUCUUAGUGUCAGUGACACUGAAACAGAGACAUACAAAGCCAAGCCAAAGAGACUUAUGACAGGUCAUUAACCUGGUGCCUAUCUAUACUUCCUCUUCAGUCAACUUAGGGGAUGUUGGCAUCAUGUAACUAAUUGGUUUUUGCCUCUCGAAUCUGUUCCAAAGCUAUCUUAUUAUUAUUCAUCAUGUUGCCAAUGUCUGUCUUAGAUCUCAGUUCACUUAGCCUGAGCAAUGGGAUGUUACUGUGUGUUCUGGAUUAUUUCAUGUUUGGAUAACAAUACAUACAAGUAGAAAUAUCCUAGUCAUCUUGGUAUCAUCUCAACAAAGACAAGGAGAUGAAUAAGUUAACAGCUUUUAAAUUAAAAUGCAAGAGACCUUUUGAAACAUUUUAUUGUAUUUACUUUCAGUUGUUUUUUGUUGUGCUGAUUUUCUCUUUCUUUUGUCACAUGAAUUAAAUGUGCUUAAAAUUAAAGGCUCUUCAAUUUACUGUAACAAUUGUUGAAUAGCUGCAUACAGCACAUACAUCCAGAAAUACUAAAACUCUUACAGUUGAAAACACUGACUACCUUCUCUUAAAUCCUUUCUCACAUUAGUGCACAUAAUGAUCCCUGACCACAGUAUAAAAGGAAUUAGAAUUCCCCUCUUCCUCAGUAGUUUACAUUAAUUUGUUAGAUGCUAUACAGGGCAUUCAGAAUUCAGAAUAAAGUGAAGACCUUGCAGAGAAGACAGCAGGUAAAUGGGAACAGUGUAGAAACCUGCUGGCCAUAGCCAGUGUUUAAGGCUUAAGCCUUAAAUGUAAGCUAUUUCUGUUUUCUAGCCUGUUCUAAUUAUGUUUUGGUCUAUGUAAUUUCUAUUAAUUGUUAGGUCUCUUUUGAAAGGUUAUUGGUUUGGAUGCAUUUUUCUCCUAAAGAAUUAACAUAUGAAAGACUGAUUCUCAGCAUUCAGUGAUUGCCAACCUGUAAGAGACUGAGGCUUUUGAAGGUGAUUGGGUCCUGAGGGAAAUGUUCUCUCCAAGGAGACUUACUCUAGUGUUGAUAGGACUCCAAGUCGUCCUUUGAGAGUGAGUUGUGGAAAGACAAGGCAGACCUUAUUCUAACUUCUUUAAUGUAUUUAGAUGAACAUAUACAUAGAAGGGUGCACUGCAACAUGAUUUUUAAAAUUCUUUUUAAAAUUAAUAUAUAAUGUGAUGGUUUCUAUAUGCUCAGCCCAGGGAGUGGCACUAUUAGAAGGUGUGGCCCUGUUGGAAUAGGUGUGGCCCUAUUGGAGUAGGUGUGUCACUGUGGUGUGGGCUUUAAAACCCUACUCCUAGCUGCCUGGAAGUCAGUGUUCUGCUAGCAGCCUUCAGAUGAAGAUAUAAAACUCUCAGUUUUCCUGUACAUUGCCUGCCUGGAUGCUACCAUGUUCCUGCCUUGAUGAUACUGGACUAAACGUCUGAACCUUUAAGCCAGCCUCAAUUUAAUGUUGCCCUUAUAAGAGUUGCCUUGGUCAUGGUGUCUCUUCACAGCAGUAAAACCCUAACUAAGACAUAUAAUUAUGUAAUUUUCCCCCUUCCCUUUCCCACCCACUAAUCUAUUCUCCUUGCUCUCAGACCUUCUUUAUUUAUGUUUUUGGAAUUAAAAAUGCA